AGAGUUUGAUCAUGGCUCAGAUUGAACGCUGGCGGCAGGCCUAACACAUGCAAGUCGAGCGGAAACGAUGGGAGCUUGCUCCCAGGCGUCGAGCGGCGGACGGGUGAGUAAUGCAUGGGAAUCUGCCCGGUAGUGGGGGAUAGCCCGGGGAAACCCGGAUUAAUACCGCAUACGCCCUGAGGGGGAAAACAAGGGAUCUUCGGACCUUGUGCUAUCGGAUGAGCCCAUGUCGGAUUAGCUGGUUGGUGGGGUAACGGCUCACCAAGGCGACGAUCCGUAGCUGGUCUUAGCGGAUGAUCAGCCACACCGGGACUGAGACACGGCCCGGACUCCUACGGGAGGCAGCAGUGGGGAAUCUUGGACAAUGGGGGCAACCCUGAUCCAGCCAUGCCGCGUGUGUGAAGAAGGCUUUCGGGUUGUAAAGCACUUUCAGUGGGGAGGAAAGCCUGUUGGUUAAGAGCUGACAGGGGGGACGUUACCCACAGAAGAAGCACCGGCUAACUCCGUG
rnacentral:rRNA from 1 species